GAAGAUACCUGGAGAUGGGAAUGGCUACCCACUCCUGGAGCGGUUCCUGCCUGGAGAACUCCAUGGACAGAGGAGCCUGGCGGGUUACAGUCCAUGAAGUUGUAAAAAGUCAGACAAGAGUGAGUGACUUUCAAUUUCACUGUGUUAAUAGAUAUU